rnacentral:rRNA from 1 species
CCUACGGGUGGCAGCAGUGAGGAAUAUUGGUCAAUGGACGAGAGUCUGAACCAGCCAAGCCGCGUGAAGGAUGACUGCCCUAUGGGUUGUAAACUUCUUUUAUAAAGGGAUAAAACGAGGUACGUGUGCCUUUUUGCAUGUACUUUAUGAAUAAGGAUCGGCUAACUCCGUGCCAGCAGCCGCGGUAAUACGGAGGAUGCGAGCGUUAUCCGGAUUUAUUGGGUUUAAAGGGAGCGUAGAUGGGUUGUUAAGUCAGUUGUGAAAUCUUGCGGCUCAACCGUAGAAUUGCAUUUGAUACUGGCAGUCUAGAGUACAGUUGAGGUAGGCGGAAUUCGUGGUGUAGCGGUGAAAUGCUUAGAGAUCACGAAGAACACCGAUUGCGAAGGCAGCUUACUAAGCUGUGACUGACAUUGAUGCUCGAAAGUGUGGGUAUCAAACAGGAUUAGAUACCCCUGUAGUC